rnacentral:rRNA from 1 species
GGGUUUGAUUCUGGCUCAGAUUGAACGCUGGCGGCAUGGCUAAAACAUGCAAGUCGAGCGCGAAAGUGGAGCAAUCCACGAGUAGAGCGGCGAAAUGGCGAGUAAUGCGUUUCUAUGUACCCUAAGGUGAGGGAUAGCCCAGGGAAACUUGGAGUAAUACCUCAUGUGGUCUCCGGAUCAAAGGCUUGCCGCCUUAGGAGCAAGGAACGUCCUAUCAGGUUGUUGGGGGGGUAAUGGCCUACCAAGCCUUAGACGGGUAGCGGGUGUGAGAGCAUGAUCCGCCGCAUCGGGACUGAGACACUGCCCGGACUCCUACGGGAGGCUGCAGUAACGAAUCUUCCGCAAUGCGCGAAAGCGUGACGGAGCAAUGCCGCGUGCGGGAUGAAGCUCUUCGGAGUGUAAACCGCUGUCAGGGGCUAGGAACACAAUGACCAACCCCAAAGGAAGGGCCGGCUAACUUCGUGCCAGCAGCCGCGGUAAUACGAAGGGCCCGAGCGUUAAUCGGAAUCACUGGGCUUAAAGCGUACGUAGGCGGAUGCGCAGGCAUCGUGUGAAAUCCCUCCGCUCAACGGAGGAACUGCACGGUGAACCGCGUGUCUUGAGAUUGGUAGGGGCUGUCGGAACGAUAGGUGGAGUGGUGAAAUGCGUUGAUAUCUAUCGGAACGCCGAAGGAGAAGUCAGGCAGCUGGGCCAAUUCUGACGCUGAGGUACGAAAGCGUGGGGAGCGAACGGGAUUAGAUACCCCGGUAGUCCACGCCGUAAACGAUGUGCACUAGAUCGAGGAGGCUCUGACGUCGUUCUCGGUCGAAGCGAAAGUGUUAAGUGCACCGCCUGGGGAGUACGGUCGCAAGGCUAAAACUCAAAGGAAUUGACGGGGGCUCACACAAGCGGUGGAGCAUGUGGCUUAAUUCGAAGCAACGCGAAGAACCUUAUCCUGGGUUUGACAUGCACGGAUCAACCCCAUGAAAGCGGAGUGACGCUCUAAGGGCGGAACGUGCACAGGUGCUGCAUGGCUGUCGUCAGCUCGUGCUGUGAAGUGUCGGGUUAAGUCCCUCAACGAGCGAAACCCCUGUCGCUAGUUACCAUCAGGUAAUGCUGGGGACUCUAGCGAGACUGCCGGUGUCAAACCGGAGGAAGGUGGGGAUGACGUCAAGUCCUCAUGGCCUUUAUGCCCUGGGCUGCACACGUGCUACAAUGGUGGGUACAAAACGAUGCAAGACCGCGAGGUGGAGCAAAAUCGCCAAAACCCGCCCCAGUUCGGAUUGCAGGCUGCAACUCGCCUGCAUGAAGUCGGAAUCGCUAGUAAUCGCGGAUCAGCUACGCCGCGGUGAAUACGUUCCUGAGCCUUGUACACACCGCCCGUCAAGUCAUGGAAGCUGGCAGCGCCCGAAGUCGCCCCAAUGCAGGGGUGCCCACGGCGAGGCUGGUGACUGGGACUAAGUCGUAACAAGGUAGCC